rnacentral:rRNA from 1 species
ACUCCUACGGGAGGCAGCAGUGGGGAAUAUUGCACAAUGGGCGCAAGCCUGAUGCAGCCAUGCCGCGUGUAUGAAGAAGGCCUUCGGGUUGUAAAGUACUUUCAGCAGUGAGGAAGGUGGGUAUGUUAAUAGCAUAUUCAUUUGACGUUAGCUGCAGAAGAAGCACCGGCUAACUCCGUGCCAGCAGCCGCGGUAAUACGGAGGGUGCGAGCGUUAAUCGGAAUUACUGGGCGUAAAGCGCAUGCAGGUGGUUUGUUAAGUCAGAUGUGAAAGCCCGGGGCUCAACCUCGGAAUUGCAUUUGAAACUGGCAAACUAGAGUACUGUAGAGGGGGGUAGAAUUUCAGGUGUAGCGGUGAAAUGCGUAGAGAUCUGAAGGAAUACCGGUGGCGAAGGCGGCCCCCUGGACAGAUACUGACACUCAGAUGCGAAAGCGUGGGGAGCAAACAGGAUUAGAUACCCUGGUUAGGCUCUGC